AGAGAAUUAAAAUGUUAAAUAAAAUCAGAAGUGAACUUGCUCUCCACCUGCGCAGAGCUCUAUAAUCAGUCUGCGAUUUUCCUUGCUCUUCUGUGUCUCUGUGCAUUUCCUGCCUAUAAAUCCCCUGGAAGUUUCCUUUACAGUUCAAGGAAUAAAGGACUGCUGCCCUUCUCGCAAUUCUGUCCUCAACUUGUCUUCUUAAAAUGGCAAGGACUGUUUCUUAAUUUUAGGACUUGAGACCAACCCCCUGUGCCUGCUCCCCACCCACACCAUUACGGCUGAGAGAUAAACCCCUCCCUCUGGACAACAGAGCCCAGAUCCACAGUGCUCAAUCUAUUCUGCCCAAGGAAGGGAGAAUACCUUGAUUUAAGGUCCCAGAUGCCCGGACGAUAGACACGGUGGAGUUACGGUGCUUGCCCAGCUCAGAGAAAGAACGAAUCUGCCAACAGCGGUCUCUGGUGCCCGGGCCAACCAUUUCACGCCCACUCUGAGAGCCCAGAACACAACUGGUUCAUUGUGUGUUAUUCGGAAGAUGUAAAGCUCGGAAGCCUUGGGAAGAAACCCCCGCCGUUUGUUACAGAAACGGGAGAAACAUUGAACUUGGCUUGUCUAUUGUGUCUUAACUGCAUGGCCAUGUGCGGGAGGAGGGCAUGGACGUCACUCACACCUCCUACAAGAUCUGUCUCUCGAUCUUCUCGAAGUUAAUGCUGUCUAUGGCUCAGUGAGGAGGCUCACAAUGAGGGGCCACAUGACCGGCCCACCGUAACCCUUGGGGCUGUCUGCUAACGAUGCGCGCCCUUGGGCAGAUUCCUUCUGAUAACCAUGAUUAUCUAGCAUUCCAACUGCACAUUCAUUUUCCCAAAACAUUUAAACUCUGCUCUUACAUUUUAUCUUUAGACACGCUUGUCAGAUAACAUGUUCCUCCCGCAGAUAAGGAAACCAAGCACAAAGAGGGUAUUUGUGGACUGCCAAGGAUAGCAGAGUCGAGAUGGGAGUCCUUGGGCACUUGCCUUAACAGAAUUGGAACUCCUGGGCCCAAAGAUCCUUCUCUGGGUCCUACCAGCAGGUCCAGUCACGGGCGUUCCCCAGGGGGGCCUAAGCGCCAGUGUCCUCUAAGAGGUGCCUGGCACAGCACCGGGACUGCUCUGCACUUGAAUGUCAGUGUGACAAGGUGGAGGAAGCAUUAACACAACCCAGAAACCACAAAAUUCUAAUCCAGUGAGAUGCAUUGCUUAACAUUCAAACAGGCUUUUAGAAAACACAGAGUUAGCUGU